AACGAACGCUGGCGGCAUGCCUAACACAUGCAAGUCGAACGAGACCUUCGUGUCUAGUUGCGCACGGGUGCGUAACGCGUGGGAACCUGCCCUUAGGUUCGGAAUAACUCCCCGAAAGGUGUGCUAAUACCGGUUAAUGUCUUCGGACCAAAGAUUUAUCGCCUUUGGAUGGGGCCGCGUUGGAUUAGCUAGUUGGUAGGGUAAAAGCCUACCAAGGCGACGAUCCAUAGCUGGUCUGAGAGGAUGAUCAGCCACGCUGGGAAUGAGACACGGCCCAGACUCCUACGGGAGGCAGCAGUGGGGAAUAUUGGACGAUGGGCGAAAGCCUGAUCCAGCAAUGCCGCGUGAGUGAUGAAGGCCUUAGGGUUGUAAAGCUCUUUUAGCCGGGAUGAUAAUGACAGUACCGGGAGAAUAAGCUCCGGCUAACUACGUG
rnacentral:rRNA from 1 species